GGUACUUGUCUAUAAGCCACUUACCAUGAAUGGAGUUUGCAGGACUGGAAGUAACAUUGGGUGAGUCAGUGAGCAAGUGGUGAAUGAAUGUGAAGGUCUAGGAUAUUAUUGCACACUACUGUAGACUUUAUAAACCGUGCACACUUAGGCUAUACUAAAAUAAUUAAAAAAUAUUUUCUUCAAUGAUAAAUUAUCCUCGCUUACUGUAACAUUUUUACUUUAUAAACUAAUGUUUUUAAACUUUUUGACUCUUUUGUAAUAACACAUCUUAAAAUGCACACUGUACAGCUCUGAC